rnacentral:rRNA from 1 species
ACGCUGGCGGCAGGCUUAACACAUGCAAGUCGAACGGUAACAGGAGAAAGCUUGCUUUCUUGCUGACGAGUGGCGGACGGGUGAGUAAUGCUUGGGAAUCUGGCUUAUGGAGGGGGAUAACGACGGGAAGCUGUCGCUAAUACCGCGUAGAGUCGAGAGACGAAAGUGCGGGACCGCAAGGCCGCAUGCCAUAGGAUGAGCCCAAGUGGGGUUAGGUAGUUGGUGGGGUAAUAGCCUACCAAGCCGACGAUCUCUAGCUGGUCUGAGAGGAUGACCAGCCACACCGGGACUGAGACACGGCCCGGACUCCUACGGGAGGCAGCAGUGGGGAAUAUUGCGCAAUGGGGGCAACCCUGACGCAGCCAUGCCGCGUGAAUGAAGAAGGCCUUCGGGUUGUAAAGUUCUUUCGGUAUUGAGGAAGGUCGUUGUGUUAAUAGCACGACAAAUUGACGUUAAAUACAGAAGAAGCACCGGCUAACUCCGUGCCAGCAGCCGCGGUAAUACGGAGGGUGCGAGCGUUAAUCGGAAUAACUGGGCGUAAAGGGCACGCAGGCGGACUUUUAAGUGAGGUGUGAAAUCCCCGGGCUUAACCUGGGAAUUGCAUUUCAGACUGGGAGUCUAGAGUACCUUAGGGAGGGGUAGAAUUCCACGUGUAGCGGUGAAAUGCGUAGAGAUGUGGAGGAAUACCGAAGGCGAAGGCAGCCCCUUGGGAAUGUACUGACGCUCAUGUGCGAAAGCGUGGGGAGCAAACAGGAUUAGAUACCCUGGUAGUCCACGCUGUAAACGCUGUCGAUUUGGGGAUUGGGCUUUAAGCUUGGUGCCCGAAGCUAACGUGAUAAAUCGACCGCCUGGGGAGUACGGCCGCAAGGUUAAAACUCAAAUGAAUUGACGGGGGCCCGCACAAGCGGUGGAGCAUGUGG